rnacentral:rRNA from 1 species
AGUGAACGCUGGCGGUAGGCCUAACACAUGCAAGUCGAACGGCAGCACAGUAAGAGCUUGCUCUUACGGGUGGCGAGUGGCGGACGGGUGAGGAAUACAUCGGCAUCUACUUUUUCGUGGGGGGUAACGUAGGGAAACUUACGCUAAUACCGCAUACGACCUACGGGUGAAAGCAGGGGAUCUUCGGACCUUGCGCGAUUGAAUGAGCCGAUGUCGGAUUAGCUAGUUGGCGGGGUAAAGGCACACCAAGGCGACGAUGCGUAGCUGGUCUGAGAGGAUGAUCAGCCACACUGGACCUGAGACACGGUCCAGACUCCUACGCGAGGCAGCAGUGGGGAAUAUUGGACAAUGGGAGCAAGCCUGAUCCAGCCAUACCGAGUGGGUGAAGAAGGCCUUCGGGUUGUAAAGCCCUUUUGUUGGGAAAGAAAAGCAGCAGGUUAAUCCCCCGCUGUUCUGACGGUACCCAAAGAAUAAGCACCGGCUAACUUCGUG